ACACGGCGGCCCUGGCUCCGCUCCUGGCCCGGCCGGCCGCAGCCCCCCGACACGUCCGAGCGGAAGGUAUUUUCCUUAAUAUUUUUUUUUCUUUAAUUAAGUGGUAAGAAUAUGGGUGAAGAUCCAAGAGGGAAAGCUACUCGAGGAGCGGCUGAAGUCGCUGGGUUUGUUCAGCCUGGAGCAGACUGAGGUCAGAGCUCACAGCAGCUCUGCAGCUUCCUCGGGAGGGGGGGAGGAGGGGCAGGCUGUGAUCUCUGCUCUGUGUGACCAAGGGACGGCUGGAGCUGUGUCAGGGGAGGGCUAGAGUGGAUUUUAGUAAAAGUUCUUCCCCCAGAGAGUGGUGGGGCACUGAACAGGCUCCCCCGGGCAGUGGUCACGGCACCCAGCCCCACGGAGCUCCAGGAGUGUUCGGACAACGCUCUCAGGGAUGCACAGGGUGGGAUCGCUGCGGUGUCCUGUACAGGGCCAGGAGCUGGACUCAGUGAUCCUUGUGGGUCCCUUUCUGUUCCAGACAUUCAGUAGUAACUGUGACCCUCUCAGAUUUGGACACAGCGCUUGUUUGCCUUGCCUCUGAAGUGCUCCUGACCCACCAGCCCUGGUGUCUGGACCAGCUUAAGAAUCAGAGGUGCUUCUUAUUUUUUAAGCUCUCUUCAUUAACUGAGUGUUUUGUUUUUGCACUCCUCAACUUCACAUGCAUGAGCCCUUUGUGUUUCCUCCCAGCAGGCAGCUGGGGGUUCAAGGGAAAGUGUUGGGUUGUUCUAGGCUUUACAGGAUUAUAAAGAACCCCAGGCAGGAUUGCAUCCAAGAUCAUCAGAUAAAUGUAAGUUAAUGAAACCUGAAUUCUGAAGAAAUUGAUCAGGACGUGGGCAGAAAAACUCUGUGGGCUGCAUUAAAAAACUGAAUCCACAGCUACAGUUCCUGGGUGUUCCGUCUCUUCUAGGUACACAGGUGCUUAAAGGGAUACAGGAGUUAUAUACAGUGAGGGUGCAUUCUGCCAUGGUAUGUUAUAUAGAUCUUUGCUCACCAAAAUUACAAAGUGUGCAAAGCAUUAUCUUAGGUGGCUGAGGAAGGCAUUACCUAUAUUGUAUAUUCUGUCUCUUCAAACUGAUAUCCAGAGUUGUCUCUUUGCUAAGUCUGUUUUUUUCUCCUAAUCGUCUCCUGAGGCUUGCAGGUGUAUAUCCUCCAGGAUGAGUUCUGAAGAUUUCAUCAAAAGAGAGAGAAGGAGCUUGGCUCAACCACCAGAGAAACCCUGCAGCCCACUCCUAGGCAAUCCUGAGUCCUCUCUUCCCUGUGAGACCCAUGUGGAGUCUCCCAGGAAAACUCCCCUCAGAAGUGGCGCACUGAGAACUCUUCCCCAGACAGCCACAGAAUCACCCUCGUGUCUGCUUCUGCCUUCUGAUUCAAUUACUCCUUUCAUUCGUUUGUGUGGGUGCCUUUUUUCAGCAGGGUGGAUCAGCUCCCGCAGCUGAGAUUCCCAUUCCACAUCACUGCAUUUACAGUCAGCAGCGAGGAAAGGGAUGCUUCAAAUUCCCGGAAGCCGACUCUGGAUCGUGUCUCUCUUAGUUUGGUGUCAGACCUCUGGGACAUUAUAUAAAUAGCCAGUGCAUCUUCCCACUGCAUUUUCUAAGUUCCUAGCAGUUGGCAGCGGGUUGGAGUUGAUUAUCCUGACUGGAAAACUGCUCCUCUUCUAUCCAGAAAAGGGCAACUUGUUGUCUGAGGUGGGCUUAACCUCUCCCUGUCCUUGGCACCUCCAGCAGCUGCAGUUUUCUGUUUUCUGUUUGGUUUUGUGAAUCAUACCUUGAGAUACCUUGCUUUCUCUGCCUACUGCACAGAGUUUGAGUGCCCGAACACAUCUGGAACCCAUCACAGCGUGAGCAGGAGGAGGGCUGUCCCAUGCUGUGAAUAUCCCAUGUGGAUUGGGCUGCAGAGUCUCAGCCCACCAAACUCUGGGCUGCAGCAGCUGAGUGCCUGGUAUGUCCCUUUCUCUUCAAGGACAUACCUCCUUGGGGUGUAGACAUAUAUAUAUGUAUCUCCUUGGUAUGUCCUUUCCCUGCAAAGAGGCCCAGCAGCACCAAGAGCAGGGCCCUGUAUCCUGAAGUGCUCCUGCUUCCUGCAGUGCUUUGUGCUAUCGUGGGGCUGAGGGGCAGCUGGGACAUUAACCUUCCACUCCUCCCACUCCAACAUCCUCCUCGUAAACAUCCCGUCCUGCUCAAGUCCUGUGCUGUCACAUCCUCUCUGCUCUGCCCAGACGCUAUUCUGGGCUUAGUUCUAUAUGCAGAGCACACAGCUGGGCAUGCCAAAAUCCAGGCAGGCAGCAGGACAGAACAGUAACUUGGUUUAGCUGCUAACAUAUCACAAAUCAGAGGAGGGGAGUUGUUUAAGGGUCUUCUUAAAAUUAAAAUCUUCUGCCUGAGCUCUCCUUGGAAAGCCAGUUUGCUUCCCUAGGCGUGUUCAGCAGCUGUACCUUACUCCAAGCAGAUGCAAACCCGUGCAUAUGGCAUGAAAAAUUCUGGUAAUAAUGGAAGGGAGCAGAACAGAGAGCUUGGAAGCUGCAACACAGUAAGUUUACACAAGCAGCAAGUAAAACACCCAUCCCUGGUGAGUCAGUCCUGGCCAUUUCCUUCAUUUCCUCCAAGGCUCGCUGGGAACAUCAGCGGUAGCGGCCCUUCAGUCAUCUCCUUUCCUGCCCCUUGUUUACAGCUUUCCUUCAGCAGGGAGCACAGUUCCAACCUCCAGCACUGCAUUUUCACUGCAGCAGGCUGAGAGAAGUGCAGACCUGGCCUCAGCUCAGCUUUGGUACUGCCAGUGCUCUUGUUGCUUUUGUGGGUGCCAGCACCUUCCUUAGCUACAGCAGGUGCUGAGGUAAGAGAGGAAAGAGUGUCACAGUUGCACAGUAUGUUUUUUUAAAAUCUUGAAUGCAGCUGUAUCACUGACAGAGGUUCUUUAUCCCUACAGCCAUACCUUUGGAUUCAGUCUGGUAGGGCAGAAAGGAUGCAGUGGGGUGUUGUGUUGUUUUAAGUGCGCAGACCAUCCCUCAAAGAUAUGGGUUGGAGCUUCCCUGCUUCAGAUUGAGGUGUAUCUCAUGCUCUGAUUUCCCCAGUAGCUAGGGAGGAGGACUAUUUAUAGCUUUUGUUUCUUGGUUUGUUUACAGGAAGUUCUUCAUUUGUGGGAGUGAGCUUGGGUCUGUCUCAGUCUGAGAAUCAGCUUCAGUGCCAGUUGUGGAUGCAGUUACAAGGGUGAACUGCUAUUGUCUGGGAGAGGCAUCAUUUAUCCCAGGUGUUCAAGAAACUGUGGGCUUCACACAGACAAAUACUCAUUGCUGGGAUCUUUCCUGAAAUUUGUUCAAGGAGAUGUUCCAGGUGGCUGUGACAGAAAAGUUUAGGAAAAUACAGAGCUGGGAAAUUCCUUCGGGUGAUACAGUUAGAAAUGCUUUUCUGUGUGAAACUAGUUAGAAAUCCACAUUGCUGACACAACCUGAGUUAGUAACAGUAGCUCUGAGACAAAACCCAUGUUGUCAAAGAACAUGAACAUCCCAAGACAAGAACAGACCAAAAUGGGCUUCCCCUAUUUCAUUCUCAAGUGCCUUUUCCUGGGAAUUCCAAAUAGCCUGCAGUCAACAAGUGACCUAGAUACAAUGCAGUAUUUGCUCGUACAGAGUAAAACCAGGAGCAAAAUAAUCCACCCAAAUUAUUUAUCUUUAUAAUCCUUAUUCAACUUCAUGCAGUUUUGGUUUUUUUUUUUUUCCCCAUAUAAAAAGCAGUAAGAUUUUCAUACAAAUGGAUACCUGCAUAUGAGCCAUAAAGGGAUAGGGGUUUUUUUUGUCAUGAUGAAUUAUGUACCAGUUACAGUGAAGGUCUACAUUGGAUGGAUUAAGUAUGAAUGGCCCAUUUAGUGUGUUGUACAAAUUUUUUCCAAAGUAAUUGUGUGGCCUGGUGUGCAAGUCAGGCCAUUGUCAUACACAGCUAAAUUCCCCUUUUUAAACAGGGUCUGCCAGGAAAAUUUAAACAAAUGGAGUGUCUUGAGACAAAGGCUACUUUUAGGGGCAUGAGAGUAAGGGAUGGUCUGGAGAGUCCCUGCCUGUCAGCCACAAAAGGUGGUGCAAGAAUGUUUUUGUUUGCACACAUCCUGUAGCCUGACAUUGCCCAACAGUUUACUUGAUUAUAAGCUCCUGCCUGUUCUAAAAGGGAUGAGGUGGUUCUGAACUUGAGGUUGUCGGCCUUGGGGAGGCUGAUGGGCUUUCCCAGCUCAGUUUACAGCUGCAAUCCAGACUGAUACCAAGGAAAAUGACUGCUCAUGCCACAGCUUCAGAAAGGUGUGGGCUGCACACGUGCAAAUGUUGGUGUCAUUUACCUUCCCUGAUUUUGAUGGAAUUGAGGGUAGGAAUGACCAGUUUCAAACAGCAAAAGCAGGCAAGAUCGCCUGAGAUGUUACUUUAGUUUUGCUGGGGGUGUAAAAAAUCUGCUGGGCAGAAGGCAAGACAAACUACUGCUCAAAGCAUAGCUACAAACCAAAGAAGAAAGAAAUCCCCACAAUGUAUCUCCUGCUCAAAAUUUCACAUGAUCAACUGAAGCAAAAUAUGACUCAAAACUUCACAUCUAUUUGCUUAUACUGUUUUUCAGAAGACAGAAGGAAAUACCUUAAAAGCUAGUCCAAUUCCAUUAAAAUCCUUUUAUUUGGGAUUAAUAAAAUAUGGAUUCAUUUCACAAGCAAGAAGCUCCUUUGAAUAAAUAUUGAGGGUGAAAAGAAGCUAUAUACUGCAGGGGUUAUAUUCUCUGAAGGAGUUGCCCAACCUUUAAUGAUACAUACUGUGGUUAAAGCAACCUAUCUCCUGCUCACCAGUAGCAUUUGGCAAUUCAGUGAUGGAAUUCUCAGUAUAUUUUUAGAAGGAUUUCCCUCAGCCAAACUUGCAAAAAUUACAUUUGAUACAUAAUGCAGUAUAACAUCACAUUCCCACCUGAUUGGAAUAUGGAGAUUUAUAUGCAGGUAAAUAAUAUGAACUUGAAUUUAAAGAUUUUUUUUUUCCAAAAUAUAUAGUGCAGGGAAAGGGUGGUUUAUGACCAAGAACAUUAAUGAGGGUAUUUUUUUGUACUUUAUAUUGAAUGUCAGCAAUGUCUUUUACUGAAUAAAAUUAUUGCAGUAAUUUCUGGCCUGGAGUAUACACAUAUCAGGAAGUCUUACCUGAGGAGAAUUCACCAAAGAUACCCAGGUAACACAAGGUAAUACCUGUAAACAUGGAUCCAAAAAAUAAAAGCAGUUUGAAAAACCCCAGUGCUUCAUACUAUUAAGAUGCCUCCAAAAGGGCAGAAAGACAUUAUGGAGAAAAAAUGUAUACUUGGGGAAUAAGUAGUCAGACAAAGAGGAAGAUAGCUUUUAGUGGGCUUUGCCUUUUCUCCAUCCAAAGUUUUAGUUUUUGGUAAUCCAGGAUGACAACAUUGAUAUAUCCAGAAAUACCACACACAAAUUUUGGAAAAUCUUAAUGAGAACCAGUUAUGCAAACAUUUCCAAACAGCUGUUCUUUUAUAGCAGUCGAUUUAGGUAAUUCCUAGCUCAGUUACAAUUUCAAGGAAAUCUUUGGGCUUAUUCUUUUUGUGUCCUGACAUGCUCCAUGCAAAGGGUGCCCUGAGUUGCUUGUUCCUAGCAUGUGCCUUUCCCAGAUGGAAAUUCCCAGUGGCAGCUCCCAGGGAGCCUUUGGGAGGCAGUUCUUGGUUUCUGUGGCACUUUCCAUUUCUGUGUUGUGGGAUUCUGAACUCUGCAAAAAGCUGGAUUUUCCCCCAAAUCCUUCUGUGAUUCUUCUGUUGCACCUAAAUCCUUGUGUAGAUCUGAAGCAGAGCCCUCAUGCUGCGGUGAGUUACUGCCCAGCCCAUGCUACCUUUCACAUCCAUGUGCAGGUAACUGCUGGAUUGGAGUCUCAGCCUUGCCCUUUACCUGCACCUCACACAUUGAUGUUUCCCUUCCUUCCUUAGUGGAAAGAGAGAGGAUCUGGGAUAAUGAGCAUUGUCUGCUUUUCCCCUUGGAGAAGUCCUGCAGAAUGUUACUGGGACUCUUAAAAUACUUCCACUCCAUUUGGAAAUGCUAAAGCAAGAACUCCAUCAGAGUUUUUCUCUGUACUUUUACAUAUGGGUGUGGAUGGCAAUAACUUAAGUUGGGCUUGGGUGGGGAUGACAUUCAAAGGCUUCUGUAGAAAUGAUUCUGAACAAACCAAUCAAUUCACUACCAGAACAUCUGGAACACUUCAUUCUGCCUUUCAUGUUUUUUUCAGAUUCAGGUAGGCCACUUACUCUGUCGUCAUUUUUUUCGGGCUUUCUGCUCCAGCUAUGAACUCUAGAAAUAAAUUACUGUAAGGAAAAGGUGGAAUAUGGACAAAGUCACACUACUACAGGUAAUCUCAUUCUAGUCCAGACAUGCUGAAACAGUUGGGACCUCUACAAAACUGAGCAUGCAGAGCAGAAAUGAAAGCAGCAUGCUGCCUUCGAGGGGCUUGCCAAAUACUCCUCUGGUUCCAGCUGAAAGGCAGGAUAUGGCUGUGUAGGAGCUGCAGGUGUGCAGGCUUCUCCCCAUACAGGCAGCUGCAGCACCUGAGUGUGUGCAGCCAGGUGGGAGGAUGACCCUCAGCAGCUUUCCCCCUGCUCAGAACAGCUGCCUCUGCCCCAACCCCCUCCUGCCCAUCCCUCUGCACUUGGAAACCACUGUGCCAGGAAGUGGCUUCUUCCUAGCUGAGAUCCUCACAUGAUAAUGUCCAUUUAAGUGUUGUUGCUUGUGGUGUAGGUCAGUAGUAAUGACUCGGGCCCGCCCUUCACUUUCCUUCCUUUUGUUGGCUAGACACAGAAUCCAGCCCACAAAUUAAUCUGUCCCAUUCACCAAUACCCCUGUUCACUAAAAAACUGCACACAGAAGUCCUUAGUUUGUAUUAAGGUCCUCUUCAGUAGCUGUGAAGUCAAGCACUUAAAAGUUCAGAAAUCCCAAAUUCUCCCUGCGUUCCAGAUGUAGUUUUUGGGAUUUUUGUUUUGGUUCUCUUGGUGGAUUGAAUUGCACAUAGUAGUGUAGCUUGUAACGAGAUAAACAGUAAUUUUUCAUCAUCUUAGUUUUUGCAGAGGAGGAUAAACAAAGCUGAAAUGUGCUUCCCUCUCUGUUCAGUGUCUUUGCACAAGUCGUGGAGGUGGAGAUCUCCGAGCCUGGAUGUGUGAUAGUGUAGUGCCCCCUCAUGGGAAGCUGUUCCUGAUGCCGAUUCCUGGCUGCAUCCAGUGCCUGAGGUAUCUUAUGGCCUUAUGUCAUCAGAUGGUGGAGAGAUGACUCUGUGAUCUUGCUGAGACUAACCCAGCCCACAGACAUUUCAACAGCAGUAAAAGUGCUCCACAGAGUAUCAAGUGGCUGCUGCUUCUCUACAUGGGAACAGGAGGUAACAGAGAAAGUUUGUCUUCUAGAUGUGUGGAAUAGAAACAGUGAAGUUGUAAGACCAGAGAAGACAGAAGCCCAGAGGGGAAGAAGCUGCACACAGAGCUUCACUGGCACCACCAAUAGAGCUCAGGAGGAAGUGGUCACAAGUAUACACAGAGGAGGAGAUGAGGCUUUUGGAGAAAAAGGAGGUGGAACCAGAGCUCCAGUGGGAAGAGCAGAGUAGUACAAAGCUGGCAGCUCCACUCCUCAAAGGUACUUAGCAAGAGAUGAGCACUGAUUGCAGCUCUGUGACAUCCACUUGGAAAAGAUUCCUAAACUGAACUUCCUCUACAGAUAUUCAUCGUGUGCAAAAAAGGGCACACUUCUGUUUAACGCCUUUGUUCUUCAUUGUCUUAACCACCUGCUGCUCCCCCCAGGCUCCUGUUUGAUGGCAUGGAUUGCAUGAUGGCAUUACCAACUUAAGGAAACCUGAGAUAUUUGUUACCACCAACCCCACACUGCAAUUUUUGCCUCAUUUGUGCCAGCCGUGCGGUUUGUGGAGCUGUGCUGAGCACUGGAUCAGGGAAGCAAUCCCAAUUAAAAAUAACCCAGUGGUGUGGCUGGGGAUGGCAAGAGCUUUAGCCAUCCAGGAUAAUCUGCAGUCACAAAUCAGUGAGAGCUGUUUGCCAUUUCAGGAUGUCAUGAAAGCCCAGCCCCAGAAAUACCUAUUUAAUACAAGGAAUAUGAACUUUUCAGCGAGUGAAGGAGCUGGGGGAAUGAGGAGGCAGAAUACUUUGUCCAGGUUCAUAAGGAAUACAAGAGCAAACCUCACUGUGCCCAGAUGGCAGUACAAAACAUCUUCACACAGGCUUUGCUUUAGCAGUCCUUCACAUGACGCUUUUGGAACAGAAGUUAGUGCCAGUGUGUGCUGUUCCAUUGAUGGAUAUUGUUUUUUCUGGGGAUUAGGGAGAAAGCUAUCCGGAUUUUUAAGGGUACUGCAAAUAUGGGGGCUGUGCUAUCACCAGGAAAGGGAAUAAAAGAGCCUUCUUCACAGACAGCUUCAUGGUACAGAGUGAAGUAACAAUUUGUGGAUGCAUUCCAGAAGAGAAAUGUAUUCCUCUUCUCUGCUCUAGAGAAACAAAGCCACUGCUGUGAUGCACCAGCACUAACAUCCAUGAUCACACCAGCAGUGACAUCACUUUCACCUACUCACAGACUUGGAGGAAGCAUCUGUAAUUAGUCAUUCUCUCUUGUAUUCCAAGCCGUGUCUGGGUUUCUUCUGGCAUCUCUCUUCAGUUCAUGCCUCCUGGGUUGAGUAUUUUUAAGUACCAGUCAUUUCCUUUUUCUUUCCCUCCUGCUUCUGACUUGGCACUUCACUGCUUCUCUCCCCAGGAAUGCUCCUGCUGGGAGGUGACUAACUUGAGCACUGAUGGCAAAGGUGCUGAAUCCAGAGACUCAGAGCCUGAGGAGUUUCAGGAUCUCCUCAGGUUACAUUUCUAGAGAAAAGAACACACUUUCUCUCCACAUGCAUUUAUGGCUGUGGUCACAACGAGGUGGAAGAUGGAGGUGAAACCCACAGUCACAUUGGCAGCUGCAUCCCUAAUUAGCCAAAGGAAAGCAUGUACCUGAAGCUUAGGGGAGGAUGUGGCUGCCCUGAGGUAAACUGAGUGCUUUCACAGCAAUCCCCAUGUCCUCAGGACAGCCCUGACAGGUAACAUCAAGGCUGACCAUGCCAGGGAACUUGGAUUCAAGGGUCCAGACCAAAUAUCAUCAUGUUUUACCAUCUUUUUUCACCUCUCCAAGAAUAGGAGGAGUUGUGUUAAUUGAUCUUAAUUCUUCCUUCUCUAGACACAGUGAAAAUGUUCUGUUUCAGCUCCUUGUUCCCUGCGUUCUCAUUGCUACUUCCCUUCUCCCAAUAAUUUAAAAUACCUUUCUUUUUUUUUUUUUUUUUCCUGUUUUGCUUGGUAUUUCUGCCUUGAAGGCAUCAGGAGAAAUCCAAAGGUCACCUGUUAAAGAAAUCAGACAAGAAAAGAAAGCAGUUGACCAGCAAAGAGGCACCUUCUUAAGAACAACACCCAGGUGCAGAGCUGUGGGAAGAAACUUCCCAGUACUGGAAAAAUCUGCCAAGGCUGGGAAAAGGGAAAUGGAAGGACACACAGAGGCCUGUCAAAAGCUCUGCCAUCUGUAAAAGCAGGGGCACAUUGGAGCUUGGAGGUGCUCUGGGGUAAGCACCGUGAGGCUGCCCUUUUGUGAGGGGAAACACUGACAGAACAGUCUCCUCUGUGGCUCAAGGGAAAGCACAAACAGCUCAGCCAGAGUCAGGCAGAGUUCAGCAGUGUUGGGGGGAAGGUCAGCUGGAGGGAGAGCAGAGCAGAAAAUGGCCCAAGGCAACACAUGAGCAGCAGGGCAACUGCAAGAGCUCUGGAAAGCAAAAAAAAAGCAACUCCAGGUAUGAGGGGUCAGUGGCUGGUCUGGAAAGUGGUGACCAUUCUCCCAUGAAGCUGCUAUCACCCCAAAUUACAUCUUCCCAGCAGCUCCAGAAAGUCCAACCCUCCCCCAGUCUUCCUGCCUAGUUGUUCAUCUCAUUUCAAUUCCUUCCACUCUGCCAUCCUGUAGUGGCCUGGUGCCACCAUUCACCACUGCAAUGGCAAAAUGCUUUGGGACACCUUGACUUUGGCUCUGUUGCCUUUUCUUGCCUCCCUUUGCUCAACUUCCUGAAAUUUCCCGUAUUUCCCUUUUUUUUUCCCCAGAGAAGGGGGCUCUUGCUGAUGUGUCUCUGGUUAUUCAGACCAGUGUGGCUGAGGUGAAAAAGAAACAGAGCCUGAAAGAAAAGUCUCCCAUGCAUGCAGGGACAAUUUUGUUUGAUAUAUCUCAAAAAAUGUUUCAGAGAAUAGGCAUAAAAUACUUCUAAAAAAAUACACAAAAGACAUCUCUUGUCAAAGAUAACAGAAAUCUGUUUUUCCAGUCACAAUGAAACAAAGAGUGUAAAAAGCUCUAUUUCAGUCAUCACUAUUACAUGUAUUUUUUUUCCCCAGCAGUGGACUGGAUCCUAUAUAACCCAGGUGGUACUGAGAAAAGCUCCUCAGAACGAGGUUCUUCUACCAGCAGGAUGGAAUGUCACAGCAGAGAAAAAAAGACAAACCACUUUCCCUCAUAAAGGAAUGGUGAGCACUGAGUGCCCUCCUCUGGCUUUUCAGAUUCUUUCAGAAAUCUGAGAAAAUUAAGACCAAUUCUAAGAAUGUCCCUCAACUCCAAAUUCUUUGGGCUGAGCAACUGAUGGGAACUCACUCUGGAGAGAAAGAAAGAAAGGGACAAGUGAGGGAAGGGAAUAAUAAAAAGAAGGGAGGGGAGAGGGAGAGUUGGGAUAACAACAUCAGGGUGACAGAUUUUAUUUCAGAGACAUCAGUCAUGCAUUUGUCUCUCUCAGGUAUUUCUAAAAUGCCACACAGUCCCACUGCAGGAUCAGAGCACUGUUAGCACAACAGAAAUUUACAGUAUUCUACAUCCUGCAGCUGGCAGGAGCAUUUGGGCACCAGCUGGUGACCACAGGUCUGGGAUGGAGCACACUAGGGAUGCUCUGCUGGAAUUAGAGUAACUAAUUUGCUUUUUCCAGUAGCCUCCCACUGGUCCUGAGGAAGGAGCUGGCUGGUGGAGCAGCAAGGUGGCUGCUGUCAAAGUGAACCUUCUGGUACUUUUCUUUUUGCACAUCCCCCAGCACCUUGUGAAUUUGUCUUAUGAGUUCCUGCUGCCCACAAAGUGAUUAAAUCAUGGGAAGAAGAGGAGCAUACCCUGUAAUUUCUGCAACAGCAAAAGAAGGGUUGGUACCCAGAUUCUCCUCUCCAGCUACAUGACCACAAAAAGUAAAGGGCAGACAGGCCAGGGGAAAUUAAUUAUUUCAGCCAAGUGACACGGAACAGGCAAAACUAACAGUGGCUGUGGAAAGGAACUCCAGUUAUGUGCUUAGACUGGUGAGCAAUUCCAUCCUACGUACUGGGGAACAGCUGUGAAACCUAAGGCCACUUCAAUUUGGCAUAGUUCAAAAUAUAUUAAUAAAGAUCUUAGAAAUAAAUGCA